CCCUCUCUGUCUCUCUCUCUCUCUCUCUCUCCCUCUCUCUUUCUCCCUCUCUCCCUCUCUGUCUUUCUCCCUCUCUCUCUCUCACUUUCUCUGCCUGUGCAGCCUCUGUCUUCUGUCUGUGUGUCAAGAGUUUGGAUCUUGUUGGUCACAUGUUGUGUUGUUGUGGCUACAGGUGCUGAGUCAUAAAAUGCAGACAGCUAAACAGCCAACCACAAAUCCUGAACCACUGACAACUCUGGAAAAGUGUUCAAGUGUGUCGUGCUCUCCUGAACCACUGACAACUCUGGAUAAGUGUUCAAGUGUGUCGUGCUCUCCUGAACCACUGACAACUCUGGGUGCUGAGUCAUAAAAUGGAGUACAAGAAGAACUGUGACACACUCUCUGAGAAGAACUCAUUUGAUGCAGAGGGAAAUGCCACAAACAACCAGGAGCUGAAGGCUGGUCCAUACGAUGGCCUCCAGAAAGCUGAAAAAGAAGAAAUACAAUAUUCUCUGGACAAACAUGACAAUUCAGACUCAGGUGCCAACCAGUGCUGUGCUUGGAAAGUGACAGCGAUUGUCCUCCUUAUCCUGACUGUCCUGCUUCUGGUCAUCGCCAUCGUCAUAGGAGUGAUCUGGCUCCGAGAGUCUGACAUCUUGGCCGUAUCACAGAAAACAUCCAUGGAAAGAGCCAAACAAAGACAGGAAGAGGAGGAGCAGAAGAGAAUGGACAGAGAGAGAGAGAUCAGGGCAGAGGAGGAGAAGAAGAGAAUGGACCGAGAGAGAGAGAUCAGGGCAGAGGAGGAGAAGAAGAGAAUGGACAGAGAGAGAGAAGUCAGGGCAGAGGAGGAGAAGAAGAGAAUGGACUUGGACAAGAAAAUCAGGCAGGAAGAAGAGGAGAAAAGACAGGCGAUGCUGGAGGAGGUGAAGGCCCAGUGUAGCAGUGGUCAGAUAGUUAGCAUUAGCUCCAUUAGCUUUGGGUUUAUUCUCUCAGUGUUGCUGUUUAACCACUUAAUGGAUUACUGACCGAUGUGGAUGUGCUGACAUCAUGGCCGGAUUAAGAAACCACGGGGCCCUGGGCCUGGACAUGUUAAAGGCCAAAAAGCAAAUCAUGCAUCACCACUUUUAUGUUUGAAAGGCGUCGUUCGGCAGGUGUACUGUGCCUCUGGCUGUGCUCAGUCAGCUUGUAGGUCUUGACGUUCAGAUUCUGCGCCUAAACUAGCUAUAUCGUAUCGUCUCGUCACAUGAUCAAAUAGAGACUUGACAUUGGACAACAAGAUACAUAUUACCCAGCAAUCAUCAUUGCAUAUCUGUAUAUGACAAAAAUAACAAAGAAAAUUAGAAAUGAUUAAUUUAAUUGAAUCAGCUUUUUAAUAGUUUCUAUAGUGUAUGUACGAUAAGCAUAUAAUUGUGUUAUAGAUUGCUACUGACGGUUUCCCCCUAAAAAUGAUGAAAACCAUGACAGAGACAUGUUUGCCAUUUUGAGGGGAUAUAUAGCAUAAGGUAUCAUAAAUCAGUACUAAAAAAAAUCCUCCUUGGUCGCUGUCGCAUUAAACUAGCGACACUUUGACAUCCAUAUAUCCGAGAGAAGUAAGAAAGCAGGUCUGCUUUGCCUACGAACCUUCCGCGCUGGCUGCAUUGUCUAUAGUUAUGCCCCUGGUGCACAUAUACUUUUUCUAACACAGCACAGGUACACUCAAUUAAAGCAAUUAGCAAAUGAACAAAAUACACCUUUUUCAACCACAAAUAAGAGAUACAUAACAGCGACUUCACGCAGAGGCUCUGGCUUAGGGGCCCCCUGAGCUCAUUGGCCCCUGGGCCUGGGCCCGGUAGGACCGUUCGGUAAUCCAUCCCUGGCUGACAUGUUUGUCACUGUUUCUCACAGUAAAGCUCAUUUGUCAGUUAAAGGGAGUGUUUAAUUCAGUUAAAGGUAUUGUGGGAGACCCAUAUUGCUAGUCUGUAAUUCAGUUAAAGGUGUUGUGGGGGACCCAGACUGCUAGUGUGUAAUUCAGUUAAAGGUGUUGUGGGAGACCCAGACUGCUAGUGAUCUGUUCUGUUGCGUGAUGUUCUCCCAUUGUGUGUUCUAUUUUACCUUUGAUUGCUAGCAGUUUGUUUUUUAUUUGAUUUAUGAUUUUUCCUCAUUAUAUGCUGAUGGACACUGUCUGCUGCCCCCUGCUGGUGAUCUGCUUGUCAUAACUGGGCUUAGCUCAGUCAGGCUCUGUGUCAUUUCUAUCUGGUGAUGUGUAGCAGAUUUGUAAUGAAUAGAAAAUAAAUAAAUAAUUCCUGCAUGGACUUACUCAGUGUCUUUGACCCAUGACCCGUCGUCACCUAAUCAGAGAGAGAGAGAGAGAGAGAGAAAACUAACGAGAGAGAGAGAGAGCAAACGAGAGAGAGAACGAGAGAAAAAACACAGUUAACAGAGGACACUGUUAUUCAGCAUUCUCAUGUCUAUGAGUCAGUCAGCAGGCAGCACAGAGUCAAGGGUAAAACAUGGAGUGGACCAGUGGCAGGGAACAUGGCAUAAAAUGUUAUGUAAACACAGCAUAGCAGGAAACAAAGAAAACAUGAACCAGAAUCUGGAUAUCUUGGGCAGGAUCAUGACCAUGGAAACAAAGAUAAAACACACACACAUACUACACAUACACACACUUCACAAAUACACACAUCCCACAUAAACACACACUACACAGACAAACACACACUACACAAAGACACACACAC
ensembl:lncRNA